GAUGAAGAACGCAGCGAAAUGCGAUAAGUAAUGUGAAUUGCAGAAUCCAGUGAAUCAUCGAAUCUUUGAACGCACAUUGCGCCCGCCAGUAUUCUGGCGGGCAUGCCUGUUCGAGCGUCAUUACAACCCUCAGGCCCCCGGGCCUGGCGUUGGGGAUCGGCGGAAGCCCCCUGCGGGCACAACGCCGUCCCCCAAAUACAGUGGCGGUCCCGCCGCAGCUUCCAUUGCGUAGUAGCUAACACCUCGCAACUGGAGAGCGGCGCGGCCACGCCGUAAAACACCCAACUUCUGAAUGUUGACCUCGAAUCAGGUAGGAAUACCCGCUGAACUUAAGCAUAUCAAUAAGCGGAGGA
rnacentral:misc_RNA from 1 species